rnacentral:rRNA from 1 species
CACACCGCCCGUCACACCAUGGGAGUUGGAUUCACUCGAAGGCGUUGAGCCAACCCGCAAGGGAGGCAGGCGACCACAGUGGGUUUAGCGACUGGGGUG